rfam:Taeniopygia guttata chromosome 1A, whole genome shotgun sequence.
CCAAAGGCUCUUUUAAGAGCCACCUACAAAUUCCGAGAAAGAGCUU